GACGAACGCUGGCGGCGUGCUUAACACAUGCAAGUCGAACGGAAAGGCCCUGCUUUUGUGGGGUGCUCGAGUGGCGAACGGGUGAGUAACACGUGAGUAACCUGCCCUUGACUUUGGGAUAACUUCAGGAAACUGGGGCUAAUACCGGAUAGGAGCUCCUGCUGCAUGGUGGGGGUUGGAAAGUUUCGGCGGUUGGGGAUGGACUCGCGGCUUAUCAGCUUGUUGGUGGGGUAGUGGCUUACCAAGGCUUUGACGGGUAGCCGGCCUGAGAGGGUGACCGGACGGACGGUGUGGGAGGCAGCGCGCAGGCGGCUGCGGGGGCGGGCGGUGGUGCGGAUGGGACGAGGGGCGGAGGGCGGGGGAGGAGGGGCGGGUGGCGGGUCGACGGGUGUGGGUCGGUACUCGGUUGUGCCGUGGGAGGAAUCGUGAGGGUCGGUCGUGGAAAAAGAAGCACCGGCUAACCACGGAACAGCAGGGUGGGUAAUAAACGGAGGACAACACGGUUCCCC
rnacentral:rRNA from 1 species